UUUUGUAUUUUUAGUAGAGACGGGGUUUCAUCAUGUUAGCCAGGAUGGUCUCGAUCUCCUGACAUUGUGAUCUGCCCACCUCAGCCUGCCAAAGUGCAGGGAUUCCAGGCAUGAGCCACGACGCCUGACCUCAUCUUUCAUCAUCAGUUCACAGCUACUCUCCCUCCUUUUCUUCAUAACAUCAAGCUAUCACAGACAAAUCUGAAAAUGUUACAAGCACAGACUAUGUUGUAUGUUUUGAAAUUUUAAAGCAGUAAUGUUCCUUUUAAAAUUGAACUUCUGGAAAGAAUAAGAAUAUUAAUACAUUUAUUACUUUAAAUUUGUAAGGCUUUUCAAACAAAAAGCAAAACCGCACAAAGCUAGUGUCAGUCUCUCACAUUGUUCACAAAUAAAGAACUUUUGAUAGUUUAUUAAAUCACUGAUUAUAUUUGAUAUGAAAUACAUAAAACAUACAACCAUUCUCUAAGAUAUUUCAAAAUGUUUCAUUGGUUAAGGAGCCAGUAAAUAAAGUUGACCCUAAACAAGAAUUUUAAAUAAACAAAACAUUUUUUAAUCAUCGAGCAUCAUUUAUAUAUUGGUUUCUGAUUUACAUAUGUGAUGUCUAAGAAAAUUUCUGACUUUAUUCUUUUUUGCCAGUAUUAAUUUAAAAUUUAUCUCAUUUCAUCUUCCCUUUCCCCAAAAUCAGGUAUACAGUGGGGAGUAUGAAAGGAGUACAUAGUUAUGACAUGGUGACUUUUUAUUAUAUAGGUUACCGACUGCUAGCCUUCAUAUUUUUAGAAAGUGCAUAUUUGAUUAGACCCAUCUAUGAGGUUCUAUUUUUUUUUUUUUUAAACUGGAAAUUUCGUGCAUUAAAUGUUGGGUAGGAUUAAGUGAUGAGACAACGAGUCUAAAUUUAUUAAUCGUUGAAAAGUGCUGAAGUAUUACCAACCAUCUUACUCAUUUCUGUAUUUUUCCCCCUAAGUUACCAGUUAGAACAGGCCAUCAGUAGUUAUGUAACUAAGAUGAAGAGGAAUUUUAGUGUCAGUGGAUACUUAUUGAUGCCAGUAGUUUUUCCAAGCUGGAAUUUAUACUGUGACUAUCAGGCAAUAUUUAGAUGGGGGUAAUGGAGAAUUUUUUAAAGUAUAGAAAUUUUCUCUUAAUGCUGACAUAAAUAACAUCUAAUGUUGUAGAAGCCUAAUAUCAAAUAUUAAUUGGACUGAAAUAGUUCAGAAUAUUUUCCCAAAACGAUUUCUUACCACUCAAUUUUUACUUUUGCGGAGCUUCUACUUACCAUUUGUAAUAACCUAAAUGACAAUAAAGUGAAGAAAAAAAGAUUUGAAAAUGGUGAAACCACCUUCUUCCAAAUAUCAUUCAGGUGACUAAAAUGCAAAACCAAGUACAGUAGACAAAUAAUAGCAACACUAGAUAAUAAGAAAUAACACCAUCAAUAGAACAGCAAUUUCUAGGUAUUUUUGGAAGAAAGGAGGGACAUAGGGAUUGACAGGUGUUUGUUGGUGUCCGUGUGAGCAAACCACAUGGUGUGAGUGAAGCAGAAGUGGAGAGGUCUCACCAAUUCUGAGUAGUGAGGGCUAGUAACAAGAUUAACCCUAAGAUGCAUGGAGAUUGGUGUGGUGGCUGGUUUCUAUAGUCCCAGCUACUCAGGAGGCUGAGAUGGGAGGGUCACUUGACCCAGGAGUUGGAUUCAAGCCUGGGCAACAUGGCGGGACCCUAUCUUAAAAGCCCUUAAGAUGGUUGGAGAGAAAUUAGGGGGUGCAUGGGGGCAGGAAAGGGGUAAGUGUGCGUAGACAUAAGGUUUGCUUUUUUCUCUCCAGUGAAUAUUUUACUCAAACUGAGGAAAGUAGAGUGAUAUGCUAAUGUAGGGUAGGUUUUUUUCAAGCUAGGUGCUGUGAUUCUCAACAGUAGCUGAGGAGGAUCAACUCUUAAUGCAUGCAGAUACCUGGACUAGAAUCUGGAGGGUGGAACUGGCCUUUAUAAUAAAGUUCUUUAGGUUAAAAAAUGUGGAUGUAGUGUUUGUGGGAGUAGUGCUGUAACUCAGAGCUUCCUAACUUUCUAAGCUGGCAGUAGUGGCUGAUAGUGAAUGAAUCAUGUAUGUGGCAAUCCUACACUUGUUACUGUAUGUUAUAGCCAUCCUAGUGGGUGUGAAGUAUCUCAUGAUUUUGAUGUGUUUACAUUUGGACUAAUGAUGUUGACCAUUUAUGUGCUUAUUGGCUACUUGUAUGUCUUUGGCAAAAUACCUAUUCCAGUUCUUUGCCUGUUUCGAAAUGGGUUAUCUCACUUAUUACAGAGUUUCAGUAGUUCCUUAUAUAUACUAGAUCUAAGGCCACUAUAAAAUAAAUUAAUUGCAAAUAUUUUCUCCCAUUCCAGGAGUUGUUUUUUCACUUUACUGAUGGUAUCAGUUGCAGCAUAAAAUUUUUAACUUUGAUGGGGUCUGGUUUAUUUCAUUUUGUUUGUGCUUUUGCUGUCAUAUAUGAGAGACCAUUGCAAAAUUGAAGAUUGUGAAGAUUUACCGCCUGUAUAUUCUUCUGUUUUAUAGUUUUAGCUCUUACAUGUAGUUCUAUCCAUCUUGAGUUACUUUUUGUAUAUGUUGUCAGAUAGGUGUCUGGCUUCAUUCUUUCACCUGUGGAUAUCUGUUUUCCUUGCACCAUUUGUUGAAAAGAUUAUUCUUUCUCUGUUGUAUUGUCUUUACACCCUUGUGAAAAAUCAAUUGACCACAGAUCUUUGGGUUUAUAUAUGAAGUCUCAAUUCUAUUAUAUUGACUUGUAUGUUACCUUUAUGCCAGUACCACACUGUCUUGACUACUGUAAUUUGUUACAAGUUUUGUAAUAGGAAGUAUGAGAUCUCCAGCUUUGCUUUUUUUUUUUUUUUUGAAGAUUGUUUUAACUAUUCUGGAUCUCUUUCAUAUUCAUAAGAAUUUUAGGAUCAGGUUGUCAAUUUCUGUAAAGAAACCAGCAGGGUUUUGACAGGAAUAUGUUGGGUCUGUAGUUAAACUUGGUGCUUUUGUAUAUUAGCUUCUAGUAUUCUGUGUCAUCAAUGGCAUCUUCAUAUUAACUUGCAUAUGGCAGAUUAUAAAUUUGUUCUCUACAUAAUUUUGGAGCAUGAUUGUGGGCUAACCUACCAGUGAGAGUGGCUGCCGUGCAGCUAAUAGUCUUCUGUAUUUGUGGAAAGGCAGGAGGAACAGGGCAUUCAUUGUCUCAUGUCAGUAUAGAGAGAAUUUGGUUGAUUCAAGAGGUAUUUAAGAGGUUGAAUCCAUAGAACUUGAUAAUUGGUGGAGUGUGAGAGAUAAGAUAGAGAAAUAUAGAAAAGACUAUGCUUAAGUUUCUUUAGGCAGCCAAGAUGGGGAAUGUUGAAAAAGGAACUGAAUUCCUUCAACUUGAUUAUUUCUCUACCUAGACUAUAGAUUUCUGGUUCCUCUAGGCUAUUGUAUCCACAGGGCUCAAGAGGUAGGACAAGGCCAGGAUUUAGGAUGCAGGAAGGAAUACAAAAA